CCCUUAGAUGUCCUGGGCUGCACGCGCGCUACACUGAUGUGUCCAGUAAGCACCUAACCUAUUCCGAGAGGAGCGGGUAACCUUAGCAAAGCACAUCGUGAUGGGGAUAGAUUAUUGCAAUUAUUAGUCUUGAACGAGGAAUUCCUAGUAAGCACAAGUCAUCAGUUUGUGUUGAUUACGUCCCUGCCCUUUGUACACACCGCCCGUCGCUCCUACCGAUUGAAUGUUCCGGUGAGCUCUUCGGACUGCGCGGUCUGCAGUUUCUGCGUUCCGUGCGGAAAGUUGUGCAAACCUUAACAUUUAGAGGAAGGAGAAGUCGUAACA
rnacentral:rRNA from 1 species